rnacentral:lncRNA from 1 species
GGUUCGCGUCUCUCUGCUGCGGCGCGGGGACCGCUGUGCUCUCGGAAUCUUGUCGAUUGGCCUGGCUGCUGCCUACUACAGCGGAGAUAGCCUGGGCUGGAAGCUCUUCUACGUCACAGGCUGCCUGUUUGUGGCUGUGCAGAACUUGGAGGACUGGGAGCCAUCUUCGACAAGAGCACAGGGAAGGUUGUUUUGAAGACGUUCAGCCUCUACAAGAAGCUGCUGACUCUUUUCAGAGCUGGCCACGACCAGGGUGAGUCGUGGGGAGCGUGGGGACAUGGGACACGGCCACAGAGGCGGCGCACUUGGGCGUCUGGGUGACUCACGGGGCCUAGAGGGGGGCCUGGAAGUGCCUUUGGUCCAAGCUCACCUGCUUGGUGACCAGGGUUGUGUCCUGCCCGCUGGAAGCAGGAUCCCACGGAUACGCCCCACCUGCUCACCUGCUCAGCAGGGUCCUAGAGCCUCCUGGGUUCUUUAGAGGUUUGGCCCCUGGGGAGAGUGGGAGGAGCAGGGGUCUGAGGAGCAGGGGUCUGGCAGAGCAGGGGUCUGAGGAGCAGGG